rnacentral:rRNA from 1 species
GACGAACGCUGGCGGCGUGCCUAACACAUGCAAGUCGAGCGGGGUUGAAGCGAGAGGUAACUCGAGCUUCUACCUAGCGGCGGACGGGUGAGUAACGCGUGGGCAACCUGCCUCAAGGUUUGGGAUAACAGCCCGAAAGGGCUGCUAAUACCGGAUAUGCCUAUGGCCUCGCAUGGGGCUAUGAGCAAAGGGGAAACCCGCCUUGAGAUGGGCCCGCGUCCCAUCAGCUAGUUGGUGAGGUAACAGCUCACCAAGGCGACGACGGGUAGCCGGCCUGAGAGGGUGACCGGCCACACUGGGACUGAGACACGGCCCAGACUCCUACGGGGGGCAGCAGUGGGGGAUCUUGCACAAUGGGCGAAAGCCUGAUGCAGCGACGCCGCGUGAGCGAAGAAGGCCUUCGGGUUGUAAAGCUCUGUCUGGAGGGACGAACAAAAUGACGGUACCUCCGGAGGAAGCCACGGCUAACUACGUG